ACUCCUACGGGAGGCAGCAGUAGGGAAUCUUCCACAAUGGGCGCAAGCCUGAUGGAGCAACACCGCGUGAGUGAAGAAGGGUUUCGGCUCGUAAAGCUCUGUUGUUAAAGAAGAACACGUAUGAGAGUAACUGUUUAUACGUUGACGGUAUUUAACCAGAAAGUCACGGCUAACUACGUGCCAGCAGCCGCGGUAAUACGUAGGUGGCAAGCGUUAUCCGGAUUUAUUGGGCGUAAAGAGAGUGCAGGCGGUUUUCUAAGUCUGAUGUGAAAGCCUUCGGCUUAACCGGAGAAGUGCAUCGGAAACUGGAUAACUUGAGUGCAGAAGAGGGUAGUGGAACUCCAUGUGUAGCGGUGGGAUGCGUAGAUAUAUGGAAGAACACCAGUGGCGAAGGCGGCUACCUGGUCUGCAACUGACGCUGAGACUCGAAAGCAUGGGUAGCGAACAGGAUUAGAUACCCUGGUAGGAUA
rnacentral:rRNA from 1 species